UACGUAGGGUGCGAGCGUUAAUCGGAAUUACUGGGCGUAAAGCGUGCGCAGGCGGUUUUGUAAGCCAGAUGUGAAAUCCCCGGGCUUAACCUGGGAAUGGCAUUUGGGACUGCAAGGCUGGAGUUUGGCAGAGGAGACUGGAAUUCCUGGUGUAGCAGUGAAAUGCGUAGAUAUCAGGAGGAAUACCGAUGGCGAAGGCAGGUCUCUGGACUAUAACUGACGCUCAUGCACGAAAGCGUGGGGAGCAAACAGG
rnacentral:rRNA from 1 species